GUUAUGUCUAUUAAUUUUUGGAUGUACCUCACUCUGUGAUUCAAUGGCAUUGCACAGACAAAGAAAAUACAGAAAGCUCUGUAAAACAAAUGGUGCUGGAUCACAGGAACAUGAGCCAUCCUCCCACCACAGUGAUGUCUCCACAAGACCAUAAUAGGCCUAACUGUAAUCCCCAGAUUGCAUUUGACCUACAAGACUGACCAUGGUCAAUUCCUGGACUGCAAAGACUUAAAUUCCCAGACUCAGGUUCAGUUAGCCUUCCCUGCAACCUCUCCUGAUAAGUUCUCGGCUCCACCGAAAGUGGAGCUCUGGACUCCUGAGCCUUCAGAGGAAUCAUCAGCAAGGCUGCCAUCUGCAGCCCACACCAUCCCAGACACUGACUCCUCAGGGAAACCAUAGGCACAGAAUACAAAAUAUGGUGAGCACCUCCCAGUGACAGCUAUGCUGCUGGCUGAGGAAGAGAUGGCUCACAGCAGCUGGCACCGAGAGGGCUAUCAAGGAUCAGACAACUGCUCAGCAUGAAGCAGGAGAAGAUGCUGUGGUGUCAGCAACAAGGAACUUCAUCCAAAUUUGCAGGGAGGCUGAACAGCAGCAGCUGGACAGGAUGCAGUGGCUUUCGUUGCCCCAGAAGUUGCAUUCUUCCAGUGAGUCAUGUGACCAUUAACAGAUUGGCAGCUGCCAUGGAGAUCCAAUUCCAGCACCAUCAGGGGCUCCCAGAGACGCAUACUCACCUGGCCUCCAUCAGUCCACCCAGCAGUCCCCAAUAUCAAAGGCAUUUUGACAGGGGGAAGAGGGUGCCUUGACCUUGAUCUUGGUUCACCCUGCUCACAAGGGGCAGAGCGAUGCCAGGAGGCAUCCAGCCAGAGAUGGAGCCACACACAGGCCGCUCAGUACUUUCUCAGCAGGUCUCUGCCAAGGUGUCCAGGUCCUUUGACUCCAUCCUGACUGUCCCCCUCUGACCCUUCGAGUUUGAAGUUUCUGGCAAGAAGACCCUCAGCACGGCAGGUCUAUACAGACAUAAGCACUCCAGGGUUGCUCCACCCAAAUCUCAGGUCAACGGAUUCAGCAGCUGAGCCAUCUCCCUCUACGGCUGCUGCGGAACCAGAGAGUGCACUGAGAUAUUGUGGGAGAGAGAGA